GUCUACGGCCAUGCUAUCCUGAACAAGCCCAAUCCUGUCUGAUCUCGGAAGCUAAGCAAGGUCAGGUCUAUUUAGUACUUGGAUGGAAGACCACCUAGGAAGGCCACCUAGGAAGACCAGGUGCUGUAGGCC
ensembl:rRNA 5S_rRNA 5S ribosomal RNA